rnacentral:rRNA from 1 species
GACGAACGCUGGCGGCGUGCCUAAUACAUGCAAGUUGAGCGAUGAAGAUUGGUGCUUGCACCAAUUUGAAGAGCAGCGAACGGGUGAGUAACGCGUGGGGAAUCUGCCUUUGAGCGGGGGACAACAUUUGGAAACGAAUGCUAAUACCGCAUAAUAACUUUAAACAUAAGUUUUAAGUUUGAAAGAUGCAAUUGCAUCACUCAAAGAUGAUCCCGCGUUGUAUUAGCUAGUUGGUGAGGUAAAGGCUCACCAAGGCGAUGAUACAUAGCCGACCUGAGAGGGUGAUCGCCCACAUUGGGACUGAGACACGGCCCAAACUCCUACGGGAGGCAGCAGUAGGGAAUCUUCGGCAAUGGACGAAAGUCUGACCGAGCAACGCCGCGUGAGUGAAGAAGGUUUUCGGAUCGUAAAACUCUGUUGGUAGAGAAGAACGUUGGUGAGAGUGGAAAGCUCAUCAAGUGACGGUAACUACCCAGAAAGGGACGGCUAACUACGUG